rnacentral:rRNA from 1 species
UAGAGUUUGAUCAUGGCUCAGAUUGAACGCUGGCGGUAUGCCUUACACAUGCAAGUCGAACGGUAGAGGGGCAACCCUUGAGAGUGGCGAACGGGUGAGUAAUAUAUCGGAACGUGCCCAGUCGUGGGGGAUAACGUAGCGAAAGCUACGCUAAUACCGCAUACGACCUGAGGGUGAAAGCGGGGGAUCGCAAGACCUCGCGCGAUUGGAGCGGCCGAUGGCAGAUUAGGUAGUUGGUGGGGUAAAGGCCUACCAAGCCUGCGAUCUGUAGCUGGUCUGAGAGGACGACCAGCCACACUGGGACUGAGACACGGCCCAGACUCCUACGGGAGGCAGUAGUGGGGAAUUUUGGACAGUGGGCGAAAGCCUGAUCCAGCCAUACCGCGUGCGGGAAGAGGGCCUUCGGGUUGUAAACCGCUUUUGUCAGGGAAGAAAUCUUCUGGGCUAAUACCUCGGGAGGAUGACGGUACCUGAAGAAUAAGCACCGGCUAACUACGUGCCAGCAGCCGCGGUAAU